AUCCAUCUGACGAGUCCCGAGUAGGACGAAACGCGCGUCCUGGAU
rfam:Schistosoma mattheei strain Denwood, Zambia genome assembly, scaffold: SMTD_scaffold0003415